rnacentral:rRNA from 1 species
GACGAACGCUGGCGGCGUGCUUAACACAUGCAAGUCGAACGGCAGCACGGGUGCUUGCACCUGGUGGCGAGUGGCGAACGGGUGAGUAAUACAUCGGAACGUACCUUAUCGUGGGGGAUAACGCAGCGAAAGCUGUGCUAAUACCGCAUACGCCCUGAGGGGGAAAGCGGGGGAGCGAAAGACCCCGCGCGAUUAGAGCGGCCGAUGCCUGAUUAGCUUGUUGGUGGGGUAAAAGCCCUCCAAGGCGACGAUCAGUAGCUGGUCUGAGAGGACGAUCAGCCACACUGGGACUGAGACACGGCCCAGACUCCUACGGGAGGCAGCAGUGGGGAAUUUUGGACAAUGGGGGCAACCCUGAUCCAGCAAUGCCGCGUGAGUGAAGAAGGCCUUCGGGUUGUAAAGCUCUUUUGUCAGGGAAGAAACACCGGCUCUAACACAGUCCGGGAAUGACGGUACCUGAAGAAUAAGCACCGGCUAACUACGUGCCAGCCGCCGCAGUAA